rnacentral:rRNA from 1 species
GACAGAGGAUGCAAGCGUUAUCCGGAAUGAUUGGGCGUAAAGCGUCUGUAGGUGGCUUUUUAAGUCCGCCGUCAAAUCCCAGGGCUCAACCCUGGACAGGCGGUGGAAACUACCAAGCUGGAGUACGGUAGGGGCAGAGGGAAUUUCCGGUGGAGCGGUGAAAUGCGUAGAGAUCGAAGAAAGAACACCAGCGGACGAAAGCACUCUGCUGGGCCGACACUGACACUGAGAGACGAAAGCUAGGGGAGCGAAUGGG